rnacentral:rRNA from 1 species
CACGUAGGGUGCGAGCGUUGUCCGGAAUUAUUGGGCGUAAAGAGCUCGUAGGCGGUGUGUCGCCGUCGGCCGUGAAAACCUGCAGCUUAACUGUGGCUUGCGGUCGAUACGGGCAUCGACUGGAGUUCGGCAGGGGAGACUGGAAUUCCGUGGUGUAGCGGUGAAAUGCGCAGAUAGUCAGGAGGAACACCCGGUGGCGAAGGCGGGUCUCUGGG